rnacentral:lncRNA from 10 species
GUGCUUAGGCCGAAAAUCAGGAAUCUCUUGAAUGAAUGCAUGAAGGUGGAGCCCUUUCCCUUAAUGCGCAGGUGAAAAGGGCACCUCGGUGGAUUCUACUAAAUUUAAUAGAAGGCAUGGAGAAGGGGUGGUGUUUCUGAAUCAGGAUUCUGAGCUGAACUGCAAACCUGACUGUGCUCCAAGUUUCUUGGACCAGCAAGCCCAGCUCCCAGAGUCCCGCUGCCCUGGCCUGAACCCGCCGCUCCACACCCCGGGCUCUCGGCAGCCGGGCGGCUCGUGGGAGGAGGCGCCAUGAGCCUUCUUGCAUUUCCUGCUUCAGACUUGAUGGAUUACAGAGGACUCCUGCUCCAGCUGUGGGGAACUCCAGCCCGCACUUUGCCUCCAGCCCGAUGGUGCAAGAUCCAGCUUCUCUUCAGCCUGGCAUCAAACGUCUUUUUGAUCAGCUUUUCAUCCAUUUUCUGAAAAUGUAGUGAUUGAGAGAUGUUCUGAAUCUUGCAGAAUUCUGUGUCGCACCCUGGCCACACAUCAAUGCAGGCCUGAACCUGACCCUGGGUGGACUCCCUGCUCUCUGCCAGCCCCUUUCUCACCCCUGGGUCCCCACGGCCCCUGGCUCUCUCCCCUCUGCUAGAAUCUCGCUGAGGGAUUGGUGGGGAGGGGGUGGUCACGCACUGGGUGGAGAUCUGGUGCCCCCUGGAGGCCGGACAGGAAGGGCCAGGGCGGACAAGGUCUUUGAGAACUCGGUGGCAUCCCGCUCCUGAUGGCCUGGGUCCCACCGCCCCUCCCCCAGCCUUCCUGACAGCAGAGGAGAUUGAUGGGGCGCUGCUCGAAUGUUCUUCAUCAGCGUCUUCAGUAAUAAGCUUCUCCAUUGGGUAACCGAUCCUAGUUUAGCAAAACCGUUUGUCAACCAUUUCCUCCCUUGAGCUUGAUAAGAACCCCGUGGGAGAGGAGAGAGGGGGGCCCCCCAGGAUCUGAAAAGCUGUGCCUCAGCCAAGUUCAUGAGUCACUGGCGAGGAGGCCUGUAGGUCAGCAAAGCCUAGGAGGUCAAGAGUGCCCACAUGGGGACCUACGGGCCUCAGGGCCGCAGGUUGCUGGGUUGGACCCUGGCUUGGAGCUCAGGAUAGAAACCCGGAAACCCCACAGGCAAAGAAGGAUGCAGAACAGAACAGGGCAGAACCAAGGACCCAGUGAGGGUGGCUGGCGUCAGAGCAAAUAUCAGAGUUCACAAGGUGAAAUAAUCCAAAAAUCUAUACAGAAAAAGCUAAUCAUUUUCUCCAAUCUCUCCCCCAAAGGUGUCUACUCCUGCAGGCUUACCUGUAACCUUUGUCACUCACUCUUCUGAUUCUGCAAACAUAUAAACCACGGAGCCACAGCCAAGAGAAUCUGGACUUGUUCGUUUUUCCUGAAAUAGGAUAUCUUAAAUAAUCCGUGGCUCAGCACUGCGCCCUUUUUUUUCUUUUCUUUUCUUUUUUUUUUUUUUUUUGAGACGGAGUCUCGCUCUGUUGCCCAGGCUGGAGUGCAAUGUCAUGAUCUUGGCUCACUGCAACCUCUGCCUCCUGGGUUCAAGCAACUCUCCUGCCUCAGCCUCCUGAGGAGCUGGGACUGCAGGUGCAAGACACCACGCCUGGCUAAUUUUUGUUAUUUUUAGUAGAGACAGUGUUUCACUAUGUUGGCCAGGCUGGUCUCGAACUCCUGACCUCAAAUGAUCUGCCUGCCUCGGCCUCCCAAAGUGCUGGGAUUACAGGCACAAGCCACAGCACCCAGCCUCACUGUGCCCUUUUCACUGGCAGGCAUUUUAUUGUCCCUACAGACCCAAGACGGGGUGGGGGAGACGUGCUUUGUGCUCACCUGGCUGGUUCAUGGGCAGGUGGCCUGGAGGACCCAGCCCUGGCAGCUGUGGGGUAGCUCCAGCCUGGGCCGGACAGCUUCUUUCAUCGCAGGCACCACUGCGGACAUUGCUGGGAGGAAGAGGAGGGAGAAGCGACGGGCUUCAUUAGGAACGGCUUUCGAUGGAUUGGACGAGGCGCGUCCACCCUGGGGAGGGCCAUCAUUUUAUUCAGUCUACUGAUGCAAAUGCUUAUCUCUUCUGGAAACACCUUCACAGACAGACCCAGAAUAUAGUUGAACCAAAUACUGGGCACCUCAUGGCUCCAACAGGUUGACACAAAAAAUGAACCAUUGCAGAAAACGAAGAACAGUCACCAACUCCCACCCAUGCAGCUGGCUCAUUUGCUGGGCUGCCCUCCCCAGCAGGUGGCACAGGAAUCCCUGCCUUGGCAGGGAGGAGGCCUGGGGUGUGUGCAGGUACCCAUGGGAAGUUUCUUUGCCAUGGGGAAAGCCAGAGUCACCCCUUGCUUGAACACAAGAGUUGGAGGUUUCAGUGAGCUGAGAUUACGCUAUUGCACUCCAGCCUGGGCGGCAGAGUGAGACUCUGUCUCUAGAUAAAUAAAUUAAAUAAAUAAAUAAAUAUAAUUUAAUAUAAAUAACUAGAAAUUUUUCAAUACUUGCAUCUCUGUAGGUUACCUCUGGAAGUGCAGGGCUUUGUCUUUUUGGAUUAACUCAGAAAUUAGACCUUCAGAAAACAACAUCAGCUCUGAUUCUCUGCACCCUUGAUGCUGCCGGUGGCGACUGCGGCUUCCUGAUGGAAAUGUAGACCUGAACAUAAGUCGCAGAAAAAUGCAGACUUGAGUUGGAGCUAAGCUGACUCAGGUAUUUUGAGAUCUAUAAUCUGAGUGGGGAGCAGAGAGAUUCCAAGAUAUUUGCAUUCAGUGGCUUUUGCACACAGCAGAACCUGUGCUGAGGGCAUUUCUAGGGUCAUUACUCAUAAUCUGCAGUGUCUCUUUCCAGGGUUCCAGGCGUCUUACCCCAGAGGUGAUUUCCAGAUUUCGAGAAAAACCCAGGAUUUAGGGCUGGCACGGUGGCUCACGCCUGUAAUCCCAGCAUUUUGGGAGGCCGAGGCAGGUGGAUCACUUGAGGUCAGGAGUUUGAGACCAGCCUGGCCAACAUGAUGAAACCCUGUCUCUACUAAAAAUACAAAAAAAUUAGCCGGGUGUGGUGGCAUGCACCUGUAAUCCCAGCUACUCAGGAGGCUGAGGCAGGAGAAUCACUUGAACCUGGGAGGCAGAGGUUGCAGUGAGCCUAGAUCGUGCCAUUGCACUCCAGCCUGGGCAACAAGAGCAAAACUCCAUCUCAAAAAAACAAACAAACAAACAAACAAAACGCAAGAUUUAGAUCCCCUCACUGUAGCGCCCUCAUGGCCUGGUAACUUUAGCAAAGCCUCCCCCUCCUCCCCCUCCUCCUCCUCCUCCUCCUCCUCCCUCCUCCCUCUUCUAGGUACAGAGGAUGAGCAGUGGCUCCCCACACCAUCCCCUGAAGCAGAGGCCCCUCUUCCCUUCAUUCCCCAUUCUGUACAGAUGCUAUGGGAGCUUCAGGCUCCACACUCAGGUCCCCAGUCCCUGAAACAUAAAGCUGAAUAAGACAGAGUCCCUGGGCUGAAGGGGCCACUGUUGGCCAUGGAAGCAGAGUAAACAGAGUGGGGCCGACGUAAAGGUGAGCUGGGGUGCACUGGAGGCACAAAACGGGCAAGGAUGGAGACGUGGGUGACGAGGUAGGGCAGACAGGCAGAGCUCAGACUGGGUCCUAGGCAGGGAGAAGUCACCAUUGUAGAGCAAGGACGAUGUGGUCAGAUCUGGGCUUUAGAAAUCUAGGUGUCUAGCCUAGGCAAUAUAAUGAGACCUCGUCUCCACAAAAAACUUAAAAAAUUAGCCGAGUGUGAUGCCACAUGUCUGUAGCCGCAGCUACUCAGAAAGCUGAGGAUCCCAAGUGGAAGGAUAACUCUAGCUCGGGAGGUCGAGGCUGCAGUGAGCCAUGAUCGUGCCAUUGCACUCCAGCCUGGGCAACAGAGCGAGACCCUGUCUCAAGAAAAAAAAAAAAAAAGUAAAAGAAAAAGAAAGAAGAAAUACAGCUCUGGAGCUGCCUAGGACAGGGUUGGGGACUCUCCUGACUAGCUGCCAGCGAAUGUUUGCUUUCUGUGGCCAGGCCCUGCCUGGCCAGGGUGCACAGGGCUGAGCGAGGCAGAUGGAGCCCCUGCUCUCAGACUGCUUUUCCGAAUGCCAUCUUGACGCUGCUCAAGUUUGGAUUUUGGUUUUCAUGGAAGUCAACUAUGGUUCUGACAUGGCCACCUCUGUCUCAACUGAUGCACGGCCUAGGGAAUCCGGUGAUGCUUCAGCAGGUGGCAGGGCUCAGCUGCACCCGCCCGGGCCCCAGCGCCGCCUGCCACUCCUCCUCCUCCUCCCAGGCUUCGGCUGAGAGCAGGGCCUGGAGCCAGCCUGCUGGGUGGACUCCCAGCUCCACAGUUGGCUAGCUCUGGGGCCCUGGGGAGAUGUCCACCCUCUCUGUGCUUUAAUUUCUUCACCUGUGAGGUGGGGAUGGUAGCACCUCCCUCAUGGGGUGGCUAUGGCUGUGAAAUGAGGUAACGUCUCGGUGUUAGGCAGCUUCCAAAACGGCUCUCCAAGAUCCCCUGCCUCCUGGCCUUCAUAGCCUUGUGGAACCCCUGGCCCUGUGUGUGGGCUGGACUCACUGCCUGCUUCCACCCAAGAGAACAGGGCACAGCUGAUGGGGGUUACUUCUGAGACUAGGUGAUCAAGACUGGGGCUUGCUGGGUCCCUCUGUCUCUGACUCUUUCCUCUGCUCUCUCCUGCUCACUUGCUCACCCUAAUACUAUAUCAAG